CCCUUAGAUGUUCUGAGCCGCACGCGCGCUACACUGAUGCAUUCAACGAGUGUACCUUGGCCGAGAGGCCUGGGCAAUCUUUUGAACGUGCAUCGUGAUAGGGAUAGAUUAUUGCAAUUAUUAAUCUUGAACGAGGAAUUCCUAGUAAACGCAGAUCAUCAAUCUGCAUUGAUUACGUCCCUGCCCUUUGUACACACCGCCCGUCGCACCUACCGAUUGGAUGGUCCGGUGAAGCCUCGGGAUUGUGGCGGUUGCCUUUAUUGGUGGCCGCCGCGAGAACUUGUCUAAACCUUAUCAUCUAGAGGAAGGUGAAGUCGUAACA
rnacentral:rRNA from 1 species